rnacentral:lncRNA from 1 species
UUUUGUUGUCGUUAUACUGUUGUCUUGUUCAUGUUUUUUGGGUACAUAAUGUAUAUUUCUUCGUUUGUUCUUAUCCGUAUGUACUUCUUAUAGGUGCUUUGACUGAACACAUUUUUAUUGUCCUUCUAGAACCUUUCCAUUGUCCACUGAGAGGGUUUAAAACAUUUUGUUAAGACAUCUGUUUCUUGUUAAAACCAUGUACUUAUUUUUAUAUGUGUCUUCAAGUUGCUGUCAUUGACAUUAAGGGCAAAUAAAAAAUUAUGUGUUUUCUAUUUAGCUACCUAGCCUAUGUUUUAAGCUUAGAAAAUAGCUACCGUUAAUUUUUGGGUCAUUUUUCAAUAAGUACUCUUAAAGAGUCAGAAUUCUCUCCCAUUGACUUAAUGUUAAAAAAAGUUCCCUAACCUAGAUCUAGAUGUGAUAGGAAACACACAUAAUUUUAUUCAGCC